UAAAUAGCUAUGAAGUGAUACA
rnacentral:miRNA from 1 species